rnacentral:snoRNA from 1 species
AUGUCAAGGCUAGGGCAUUUUCUGAAAAAAUUCUUGAACCUCUCCUAUGCCUCCGGAUAGCUCUCGAGAUCUUUCUGCUUAAAGGUAUGGAUAUCAUUCCUAAUUU